rnacentral:rRNA from 1 species
UCAUACGUAGGACCCAAGCGUUAUCCGGAGUGACUGGGCGUAAAGAGUUGCGUAGGCGGUUAGUAAAGCGAAUAGUGAAAGAUGAUGGCUCAACCAUCAGAACAUUAUUCGAACUCACUGACUCGAGUAUGGUAGAGGUAGCUGGAAUUUCUAGUGUAGGAGUGAAAUCCGUAGAUAUUAGAAGGAACACCAAUGGCGUAGGCAGGCUACUGGACCAUUACUGACGCUGAGGCACGAAAGCGUGGGGAGCGAACCGG